UAGACACCCUCAUAAUCAUUACAAUUUAUUUAAAACUGAAAUUAUACAUUCAAAUUAUUUAUUAACUGCUAUAAUGUGAAUAUUAAAUAUUCAGUAGACAUGCUCUUUGCAUUUUUCAGUGCAAGGACCCUAUUAAUCAUACUCCUGAGAUCG